UGCCGAGUAGCACAACGGUAGUGCGCCGCCCUGUUAAGGCGGAUGUUGCAGGUUCGAGCCCUGCCUCGGCAGCCA
rnacentral:tRNA from 1 species